rnacentral:rRNA from 1 species
GAUUGAACGCUGGCGGCAGGCCUACCACAUGCAAGUCGAGCGGAUGAAGGGAGCUUGCUCCUGGAUUCAGCGGCGGACGGGUGAGUAAUGCCUAGGAAUCUGCCUGGUAGUGGGAGAUAACGUCCGGAAACGGGCGCUAAUACCGCAUACGUCCUGAGGGAGAAAGUGGGGGAUCUUCGGACCUCACGCUAUCAGAUGAGCCUAGGUCGGAUUAGCUAGUUGGUGGGGUAAAGGCCUACCAAGGCGACGAUCCGUAACUGGUCUGAGAGGAUGAUCAGUCACACUGGAACUGAGACACGGUCCAGACUCCUACGGGAGGCAGCAGUGGGGAAUAUUGGACAAUGGGCGAAAGCCUGAUCCAGCCAUGCCGCGUGUGUGAAGAAGGUCUUCGGAUUGUAAAGCACUUUAAGUUGGGAGGAAGGGCAGUAAGUUAAUACCUUGCUGUUUUGACGUUACCAACAGAAUAAGCACCGGCUAACUUCGU